UACGAGAGGCCCAAACGUUAUUCGGAAUUACUGGGCUUAAAGAGUUCGUAGGCGGCGCAGAAAGUAGGGUGUGAAAGCCCUCGGCUUAACCGAGGAAUUGCGCCCUAAACUACUGUGCUUGAGGAACCUAGAGGUGAGCAGAACAGAUGGUGGAGCGGUGAAAUGCGUUGAUAUCAUCUGGAAUACCGGAAGCGAAGGCGGCUCACUGGGGGUUUUCUGACGCUGAGGAACGAAAGCCAGGGUAGCGAACGGG
rnacentral:rRNA from 1 species